GCCUGGGUGGCUCAGUGGGUUAAGCGUCUGACUUUGACUCAGGUCAUCAUCUCAUGGUCUGUGAGUUCGAGCCCCACAUCGGGCU
rnacentral:tRNA from 1 species